ensembl:lncRNA
CGCGCGCCCGGGGCGGGGACCCGCUCCCCUUGCUGGGCGCUCCCUCGCGGCGCAGUGCAGUGCCGGGGCCGCGGGCAGGGAGCCCCCAGGCAAGACUUCAGGUCGUUACUAGCUUUGAAGUAAGACUUUUCCUGUCCCCUGCCCCUGAGCCUCGGGGGCCCGGACUCUCCCUGACCGCAGAGCUAUGGGUCACCCAAAUCCGGCGCUGGCCUGGCUCUACCAAGUCCGCUGCUCGCCGGCCAGAGUGUGGGCGUCCUUCCUCCGGAGCCUCGCCAAAGCUGGCGUGGCGCUUCUCCGCUGACAGCUCUCCUCACUUCACAGUCUUUGGGUAUUUAAAGUCAUCGUGGUAACCCAUCCCCUGAUCUGGAUGCCUUUAAUUUUCUUAUGAAUUUACUGCGCUAGAGACGUUCAUUCCUUAAAACGCAUUGACUGGGGUCGCGCUUGGCUCAGGGCGCUGUCCCAGGCUCCUUGUCGCCCAAGUAUCCCAAAGCUCCCAUCCCUGCCCGCGCGGCCGGGUCAGUGAGCCCGCGCUGUUUGGAGGACGCCCAAAGAUUGCUGCCAGCGAGGAAGGCAUUCGGGCUCCCGACUGGAGUUCCAGGUCCUGGAAGAACGACUGGGAGUUGAAAGGUUACGCUCCAGGCCGGGGCUCCAUCGCGCGUUUGCAACCAUCAGACAGAGGGCCCAGACAGGAUCUUCCUAAGACGGACUGCCUCAGCCCCCAUAGCUAAGCUGUGAAAACACUCUCAGUUUUAGGAGCAGAAUGGAAGUCACUCCAUCAGAAUAAAGCGUUUGUGGAGCUACGCUGGCGAUUCCUAAAACCCUGAAAAUCCUCUCUCAGGACGGCGAAUUGAGGUUGUUCUCUCCGUGCACAUUUGCGCAGUAGAAAUGGAUGGCUGGUUCGCUGAUCUGUCCGCAGCAGCAAAAAAAAAAAAUCUUUAACAAGGGAACUUGAAAGGUCCAACUUCAGGCACAUGUGGAUUCAGAGGUUCCAGUGAUGUCAGAAGUAGAGCUAGAGUCUCAGCAUUGCCCACCCCCUCCUCUCCUCUCUGCUUUCUUCUGUGGGCUUCCUUGUUAAGGUGACUGACUUAACACCGUGGUACCUGGCAGCUCCAGGAUUAUCUUCUCCUCAGGGGUCAGGAUCUAAGAAUGAGGCAUCCCAGUGUUUCGUUGGUUCGAAUCCUGGGCGCGGACAUGGCACUGCUCAUCAAACCACGCUGAGGCAGCGUCCCACAUGCCACAACUAGAAGAACCCACAACGAAGAAUAUACAACUAUGUACUGGGGGCUUUGG